UUGGUUUUCCUUCAAAUGUAGAGACAUUUGCGCUUACUUUGCUCCAGGAGAGCCUCCCCAAGCCCUUUGCACUGGUUCUCUCCACACAGGGGAUUUGCAUGUUGUUCUCCAGGGAGGCCCUUCCCUUGCAAGUCUGAGAUAAAAGGUCAGUUCUCAUUUUGCUUAUCAGGGCUCAUCAGUUCAACCUCCCAAAAUGACUUCCCCUGCUCAGCUCCUGGGGCUGCUGAUUCUCUGGAUCACUGGAUCCAGUGGGGAAAUCGUGAUGACACAGACCCCGCUGUCACUGUCCGUCACCCCCGGAGAGUCGGCCUCCAUCUCCUGCAGGGCUAGUCAGAGCCUCCUACAUAGUGAUGGAAACACCUAUUUACAUUGGUACCGGCAGAAGCCAGGCCAGUCCCCACAGCUCCUCAUCUACUUGGUUUCCAACCGUUUCACUGGGGUCCCAGACAGGUUCAGUGGCAGCGGGUCAGGGACAGAUUUUACCCUGAGAAUCAGCAGGGUGGAGGCUGAUGAUGUGGGAGUUUAUUACUGUUAUCAAGAGUCACAUGCUCUCCUGACCGAGCCUGCAAGUGCCCCUAAACCCAAUUAUUCUUGUGCUCAUGAUCACUAUAACAAAAUGCAUAGCACGUUUGCAGGAGAGUCUCCAGAAGCUACAGCAUUUGAUACCCUAGCAGAUUCCCUUGAGUGAUGUCAUAUAUGGUAG